CAGCGCCACGAGUGGCAUACACAUUUAUUGGGCCUAAAGCGUCCGUAGCCGGUUUGGUAAAUCUUUUGUGAAACUAUUCGGCUUAACCGAAUAACGUGCAGAAGACACUGCCAAACUAGGAACCGGGAGAGGUUAGAAGUAUUCAAAGGGGAGCGGUAAAAUGCUAUAAUCCUUUGAGGACUACCAGUGGCGAAGGCGUCUAACCAGAACGGAUUCGACGGUGAGGGACGAAAGCUAGGGGAGCGAUCCGGAUUAGAUACCCGAGUAGUCC
rnacentral:rRNA from 1 species